UACGGGGGGGGGCAAGCGUUGUUCGGAAUUACUGGGCGUAAAGGGCUCGUAGGCGGCCAACUAAGUCAGACGUGAAAUCCCUCGGCUUAACCGGGGAACUGCGUCUGAUACUGGAUGGCUAGAGUUUGGGAGAGGGAUGCGGAAUUCCAGGUGUAGCGGUGAAAUGCGUAGAUAUCUGGAGGAACACCGGUGGCGAAGGCGGCAUCCUGGGCCAACACUGACGCU
rnacentral:rRNA from 1 species